rnacentral:autocatalytically_spliced_intron from 2 species
AAGUCGAAUGCCGCCAAUUUAGAGCUGGUUAGUAGCAUUUCUAUGCAAUGUAAGUUGAGUGGAUGUUUAUCUGGUGGCUUUGCGCUAACGAACUUUAAAUUGGCGGCAUGGCGGACGGCUGAGUAACGCGUGGGAACUUACCUCUAAGUUGGGUAUAACCUGCCGAAAGGCGGGAUAAUCCCCAAUGUCCCGCCAAUUUAGUGUUGGUGUUCAAGUAGAUGCUAAUUGAAUGGUGUGAUGCUGUUCGAUUGGGCGGACUAUCAUAUACG